AUUAUCUUGGCAGAAUAGUGUAAUAAAUUUAGAAUUUAUUUAAGUAGUUAAAUUACAGGUAAUA
rnacentral:tRNA from 1 species